UAGGCUUGCGUCUGAUUAGCUAGUUGGUGUGGUAUGGCACACCAAGGCUACGAUCAGUAACUGGUCUGAGAGGAUGAUCAGUCACACUGGAACUGAGACACGGUCCAGACUCCUACGGGAGGCAGCAGUGAGGAAUAUUGGGCAAUGCACGAAAGUGUGACCCAGCAACGCCGCGUGGAGGAUGAAGGUAUCCUAUAUCGUAAACUCCUGUGAGAGCAGACGAAAGACAGAUUAUUAAUUUGGAUGACUGUAUGCUCAGAGGAAGCCCCGGCUAACUACGUG
rnacentral:rRNA from 1 species